UACGGGGGGAGCAAGCGUUGUUCGGGUUUACUGGGCGUAAAGGGCGCGUAGGCGGCCACCGCAAGUCGACUGUGAAAUCUCCGGGCUUAACCCGGAAAGGUCAGCCGAUACUGCGGGGCUAGAGUGCAGAAGGGGCAACUGGAAUUCUCGGUGUAGCGGUGAAAUGCGCAGAUAUCGGGAGGAACACCGGUGGCGAAGGCGGUUCUCUGGGCCUGUGCUGACGCUGAGGAGCGAAAGCGUGGGGAGCGAACAGG
rnacentral:rRNA from 1 species